rnacentral:rRNA from 1 species
GACGAACGCUGGCGGCGUGCCUAAUACAUGCAAGUCGAACGCAGUGGGGACGGGUGGGUAACACGUGGGUAACCUCCCCAUCAGAGGGGAUAACACUUGGAAACAGGUGCUAAACCGAUACUGAUGGAUGGACCCGCGGUGCAUGAGCUAGUUGGUGGGGUAACGGCUCACCAAGGCCACGAUGCAUAGCCGACCUUAGAGGGUGAUCGGCCACACUGGGACUGAGACACGGCCCAGACUCCUACGGGAGGCAGCAGUAGGGAAUAUUCGGCAAUGGACGAAAGUCUGACCGAGCCACGCCGCGUGAGUGAAGAAGGUUUUCGGAUCGUAAAACUCUGUUGUUAGAGAAGCGGUAUCUAACCAGAAAGCCACGGCUAACUCCGUGCCAGCAGCCGCGGUAAUAC